AGAAUAAAAACAUCGGCUCACCUCGCCAUGCCUCAACCUCCACGAGAUUGCACGAGACAGUUCAAGGCAUGAUCCAACCAGACAUAAGUGGUUCGAGACAUGUCUCAUCACAUUUUUUUUUUAUUUAACAUCACGCUAUAAGAUCUUUAUUUCAUCAAUCUGAAUAAUUCGUUAAGAACGAGUAGAGAUAGUGUACAUUGCAUGACGAAAUAAUAUUUGUGCCUCACAUUCUCGCAGACGACAUAACCUGGAACUUCGUCAGAUAAACGAAAAAACAUUAUAAAAAAUGUCUGCAAAUAUUCCAUCAACGUCAGAAGCUCAUAAGGCCGCCCUGCAAGGUGCCUCACGUGUUUUUGUGUUGACUCCGGAUAUGCUGAAGAAAUUGGGUCUUGCGGACCAACUGAAACAGAUGCAGAGUAAAAUCAAACCCGAGAACACCGUUCAACUAGUAGCCGACUCCAAGAAAUCUUCAGUAGCAGCAAAACCGAAGCUCGUCGUACCUCCUGAUAAAACUCGAAUAAUUUCGAAGAAAAGAACUCUUGGCACUGAAAAUCAAAAAACAUCAUCAUCUCUCAAAUCCUCGAAAUCUGUUCAAAAGAAUCAACUAAUUGAUAAUGUCGAUGUCACUAAAAGAAAGGUGAGUAAACAAUCCAGAGAAAUUUCUAAACAUUCAAGGAGAUCGACUGGAAAAGUCAAAGAACAACAAAAAAUUGAACCUGAGGACCAACGAGAGGCAGAAGUACCUGAAAAUCUGUCUGAAGGAGGGGAAUUUACUCGAGAGCAUGAAAAUUAUAAGGUCAAUGAUGGAAAGUUACUGACAGAGAAACGAGAAAUUGUAGAAUCAAUGCUCUCCAACGGGAACAACGCCAAUGAAAAUAGUAAUUCUCAUGAAGAAGAUCACCCGAUUGAGAGAACUACCUCCAAGAGUUUACAAAUUGUGAAACUCAUCGAUGAUAAAUCAAAAAAAGGUGAUGAGUCGUUCGGUGAAUCUCUUGCAAACAAAGAUCAUUUUAAAGAGUCGAUACCAACGGAAAAUAGUGAAAAUGACGUAUUGAUGGAGAUUCAAAAUAUGAGAUCGACAGAAUCAUCAACUGGACCUUUUGUAGUACCUGGGGCUCCAGUAAAAGCUCCAAUAAAUGAAUUAAUACCAGCAGUUCCACUCAAGACAUCAGCAGUCGCUGCUACUGAAACUGAAAGUUCUCUGAACUUUCCGGUUCAACUGAAAGCUAAUGGUAAAGAUCGAGUACAUGAUGAUGUACGAUCCUUGUCAGACUCAACAUCAGCAGGUGAGUCGCUUAAAAAGGAGCAAGACUCCAUCAAAUCAAUAGAAAUCAAAGAUACCCAAACGGAAGAUGGAUGUCCGGAAACUGACACCAUGAAAAAAUCGGGAUGCCAAGGAAGAGUGUCACGAAGUAGAUCGUUCAAACCAAAGGUCAAGAUCAUGCACAAGUUGAUUCGAGAAGGUCAAAAAGUCACCAAAACUCCACGUGCACUAGUCAAUGGAGAAUCAGUAUCUUCACAUCUAGAGACGUUAUCAGAGAAGUCAACGAAAUCUGAAGGUCCUGUCGAACCUCAGAAUGAUCCCAAUGCUUCAAAAUCCACAGAAUCAGUUUGUCCAGAUCUAGAUCCAUUUCCAGAGAAGUUGACCAAGUUUCAAGGUCCUAUCGAACCUCAAAAUGAUUCCAAUGUUUCAAAAUCCGCAGAUAAAAAUGUUUCUUCAAAUUCCAAACAAAGAUCUGACGAUCAAGUAUCAAAUAGUAAAUCAUCAGCUCAAAAGCCAGUGAACAAUCUUGACGUACUGAUGGCAGCAGUGGACAUCAACUUGAAACAUAAGAAUUCAUUGACAAAGAAUACGUUCUCUUCUCCUAAAGGGAAGUCUCUGGAUGAAAUUCCACUACCAGUCAGUGAUCCAACGAAUAAUGAGCCAGAAGAAAAUCGGAAAAUCCUCAAAAGUCCAAUAAAACAAUCAGAGGACUUAAACGUAAUGGAUACUGAAUCAAAAAACAAGUCUGAUAAAAAAUCCACAAGGAAAAGGGUAUCGAAAACCAACAUAACAUAUUUAAAGGCUCCAAAGAUCCCCAGAAAAUCGCCUCAGGAGACCCCAACACCCGUCAAGACCGAGAUGAUGAUGCCCAGUCCAACCAGAACCUCUUCCAGACAAUCAAAACCAAAGAUCUUCGAGCACUGCAUUAUGGAAUCAUCGAAACAUCGUAAAAUACCCGGGAAUCAGACCGACAUUGAUGUUAAUCCCUUGAUCAGUGCAAGAAGUCCACGAAGGCAUAAGAAAACCUCUCUCUCACCAGAAGAUGAUUCCUCCUCGAAAUUAGUUAUCAGCGAAGCCAGAUCUGGAUCAUUGGACGUUGAGGAAGAAAAUUCAAAGCGAAUGAAGAAGAAACUCAACAUCGUUGAGAGUUUAGAAUUAUCAAAAUCUGCAGACAAACUUAAUAAUGAAAUUAUUCAAUCAGCGACUCAUGAAAGAUCCUCAGUAUUGUCGAGCGAUUUAGCUCCAGUACCUGAAGGACCACUUCCCAGUGACCAGAAGGAUCAGUUGCUGGGAGUAGAUCAUUCUAGCCACCUGGGCGAACCCAAUCAUGAAAUUGAUAUCAAUAAAUCAUCUAAAAAGCCGAAAAGCUCAGAAAAAUCGAAGAUUGAAGUUUCUGAGAUCUUGACAUCAUCUCCAAGUCGUGAACUUGGAGACCAAAGUAAUAAUUUUAAUUCUACGGUAAAAUCAGCGAAAUCGACCGCUUCCAGUGCAGUUAAUGGCGGCAACGAGAUCCUGACUUCUGUUGCUUCAAAAUCACCGAAGAAACUUGAGACGAAAGGAAUCAAGAAAUCAAGAAAAAAAUCCUUGGAGACAUCAAAUGGACGACUUUCAUUGAGAGGAAUUACCAAAGAAUAUACCGAUGAAAACGAUACGAAGAAGAUACAUUCAGAAGAAGUUAAAACUACAUUGGAUACUACGUUCAAAGCUGAAAGAUUCAGUGCAGAGAAAACAGCUGAGGCAGAAACCGCUGAAUUUACUUCAGAAUCUUCUUCAACGUCGUCACACAAAAUUAAUCCAUUGAAGAGUCGUGGAUCGAAAUCAGAGUAUAAAAGGCCACUGAGAGGACGAUCUCGAGGACAUAAAGAAGCAUCUGACAUUGAGGAUGUCACCAAGACUGUUAAAUCCAAGGAUAGAAUGUCGUCAAGAAGAACAUCCCAAAGUUCUAAAGUAGCAAAUCAAGAAGAACUUGAGAGAUGUGAUGGGGAAACAUCAGUCGAUACUAGUCAACCCCAUGGAUGCGAGCCUGACGAAGAUCCUGUGGAGAUUCCAAAUGAAAAGAAAAUUCCGAAUAUAAAUUCUCCAGAAGUAGACAACAUUCCAAAAGAUGCUGAUGUUGAAGCUUCUCUGGAAAGCCACAACCACUCAGAAGGGUCUUUGCAUGCCUCUAAAGCGGAUGAUAUUUCUACGCUAGCCCUGGAAAUCUCUUCUGAAGCUUCUACCACUGAAUUUGGACUUCCAGGGGGCCAUUCACUCUCGAAAACCUCAGGCUCCUCAGUCUCUGAAGCAUUCGACCCAUCGCUAAUUUCCGAACAAUCUUCUAAACGUCGGGGUAGACGUCAAUCUCAAAAAUCUCCAGUUCCCUGUGGUCUAAAAGAGGAACCAGAUGCUCCCGUACCUAAAAGUCCUCCGGAGUUAUCCGUCAGCCUUCCAAAACGUCGAGGAAGGAAGAAGAAAUCAGAGCUCGAGAAGCUGUUACCUCCACCGGUAAUUGUUGCCCCGUCUUCAGAACUUCCAGAAGAUCCAGAAACUGUGACUCCUGAGAACUCGGAAAUCCGUCAAAGAAAACCGUUGAUUCAUCCCGACGAGACAGACGGUAAAGGUCUCAGUGAUUCCGAUCAGGAGCCAUGUUCUCCCCUUCCCCCGAGUCGUCGGGGUCGAGGUCGUCGAAGAGGUCGAGGUCGAGGUCGAGGUCGAGGUCGUUCCUCUCUCCCAGUGGAUCGAGAAUACACCCCCAGAGUUGCUUGCUCCAUCAAACUCAACGAGACCCCAACACCAUCUCCAUCCUCAUCCUCACCAGGACCAUCCGUCCCUGUAAAAUCACAACCAACAAUUAUAAAAUGUGGGAAAUGCCAGGAAGAGGUACCCUCUAGUUCCUGGCCUCGUCAUAAUCUCAUGAAGCACAAUAGCAUGGGAUGGAAAUCAACGGAUCCAGAGCCAGAUUUCUCUGACCUGAAGGCUUUGAGUCGUUUCUUAUUCCAGACGAAAAAGAAAAAACCAGCGCUGAUCUGCGAGAGCUGUGGAACGGUGAAAAAAUCAGUGGCUGGUUUCAUCUCUCACAUAACAUUUUGUGGAAAAACCGAAGUUGAAAAACAAUCGCUGAUGUGGACAUGUCCCAUCUGCAAAGUUGUCUUGAUGCCAUCCUCUCAAGAAUACCAUGAAAGGGUGCACAGGGAUCAAGGAAUAAUACCCAGCAAGAAAAAGAAAGAGAUUGUUAAAGAGUCCAUGGAACCUCAAGUGACAGACACCUCGAGAGUCAAGAGAAAGGCAGCCGAGAGAGCAGCAACUAAAAUCACUGAGUUCACGGAAUUGGUGAAGGGAUCGGAGGAUCUUCCUUCAAAAAAGAAAAAGAUGUCCGCCAGAAUUAAGGAGCUCAUAGAUAAACCAAAGAUGGUGAAACAAAUUCCUUCGGUGUGGAAAGCCAUGUGGACGAGGGCGAUAAAUCAUAAUGAAAAGGCCUUCUGCAGGGAACCAAACUGUGAAUUCUCUUCACCGACACUUGAGGGUAUCUGUGAACAUUACAAGACAUGUAACUUCAGUCCAAAUAACAUGUUUGUCUGCAAGAUCUGUCAGUGGUCGUGUGAGAAAAAAUUGGAGAUCAUGGGACAUGUAAAAGACAUGCACUCGAGUGAAGUCAAUGGAGAUGACUCUGAUUACGUUGUCAGUGAGGGAUCUGAAGAAGAGGAGGAACCGGUGAUCGAUGAAGAUGAGAUGUUAGCUGAGGAUGGAGAAGUCAAACGGAAGAAGGGCCCCAUAGCGAGGGCUCCCACACGAUUGAAGGCCCAAUUUUUAGCGAAUUAUGCUCACAUCAGGAAUCAGUACAUGAUGUUUGAACUUGCCUGGGACUGGACUGUCAACUUCCAGACAGAGAAUUAUCAGUUGAGUCUUUUUGAGGACUUGAGGAUAAAUGAAUUCGACAUUAUCGACAACCCUGAGGACUAUCUCCCAGAAUUAAAACUAUCGAUUCCAACAACUACCUUGAAGCUGAAGGAAGACAAGUUAAAAGAGGAAAAUUGGAGACGAUGGGAAAGAUUCGAAGGUGAUGUUAUUGAAAAUACACCGACGUUUUUCACCGGAGGACCUGUUUGGGGACUCGCUUGGAUGCCAAUUCCUCCAACAUUGUACGAUAAAAAGCCCGAACAAUUUGUGGCUGUCAGUACUCACAAGAAAAUGGAGGAUUAUUUCGAGGUUGGUAAAAGCUACUGUGGAAAAAAUAGCAUACAAAUUUGGAAUUUGGGAGCACUGGAGAAUAAUUCAAUGGAACCCAAUGUUCCCCAGCUGUCCUACGUAAUGGGACAUGAAGGAGGAACAAUUUGGUGUCUAGAGUGGUGUCCAUCUGGUGGAUAUGAAGAGGGGGGCAAGAGAAUGGGUCUGCUCGCUGCUGCCAUGUCUUCAGGAUUUAUUCACAUUUACUCAAUGCCAUUUCCCGAGGUGGUGGGAGGUCAGGGAAAAUUCUUCACGACUGAUCCCGUGAUGAUUUUACGUAUUAAUGAUCAAUUAGCUGGGACAUCACAAUGUAUGACGCUGAGUUGGUCGAAAACGUCUAAUCACGAUACUCUAGCGGCUGGUUUUGCAAAUGGCUACGUCGCCAUUUGGGAUUUGACAACACAGUCACCUCUCCUACGAACAAAACAAUCAUUGACAAUCUACUUGUAUCCAUUUAUGCAUUUUUAUGCUCACGGUCAUGCGGUGAUGUUCGUCACUGUUGUACCAUUGGAGCAAAAGAGGUAUCUGGUGACAGCUGGAAUGGACAGAUGCUCGAAAAUGUGGGACCUUGAGGACACAAGUCUUCCCUUCUGGCUGCUGAAGAAGGGAGUCGCUGUCAAUGGUACUUGGAUGACUCACUGGCCGACUAUUUUAACUUGUUAUGAUGAUGCUCUGGGGCUGGGUCAUACCCAGACAUAUCUUGCACCUGUCAGGGAGGCAGCAACUAGAGUUCUGCCUAUUUUGCCGACAAAUUCACCGGUUUAUGCCAUCGCUAGCUCUGAUUGGGCUAAUGGAGUCUGUCAGGGGACAACGGCUGGAGAAAUUGUGGCGAUUUUUCCACCACAAAUGCUUUAUCUGAAGGAGAUUGAUAAAAUAUCGAGGACCAGGUGGCUUGUGUCUAAUGCCAAGGUGAUCGAUUUUGAGGAGAAAGAUGCGAACAAGGGAAAGGAAUAUCAGUACAAGCCGGAAAAAUAUGCGGAGUGCCAGGAGAGAUUUGGGGUGGCGUUUUGCGAUGAUCUGAAUAAUACUCGCGGCACUGCCUGGAUGGCAAGAUCCGAUAGGAAAGGAUUUUUAAGUACUGAUACCAUGCAACAAGUACCAGUGGAGCAGUAUCCCGUGGCAGCUAUCAAUAGGAUGAUAGGACUUGGUGCUGCCUUAUAGAAUACUGCAAGAAUAACAAUGUUGUUAUGGAAUAAAAAUAUCACAGUAAAAUUAUUUUUAUGGGGGUUUGAAAGAAUCAUAGAAGUACGGGAUUAUGAUAUUAUCCUUGUUUGUUAUCAAAUGUGGGCAUAUUAUAUGAAAUAAUGGACAGAUAGAAAUUUGAAAAAUUGAGAUUUUAGUGCGUAAGAAACUCCGAUUCGUUCAACAUGAUCACCAUCAUUAUGAUGGUGAUGGUGAUCAUUAUAUGAUGAAUUAUGUACUCCUCUUUGCGCAAUCAGAAACGAUGUUUUUAUUAUAUGACUUAGGUUUCACUAUUUCAAUUAACUUAGAUGAAGCUUUUAAUUGCCUAUGGCAAUUCAAUUCUAAUCUAUAUGAAGACAUUCGGUUUUUUCGUAUAUCAUGAAAGGAUUCUUUCCAGAAUCAUUUACGUCCUAGGGGGUCUAUUUUAAUUACGAAGGAAUGAAAAUCUUCACAUAAAUCUAUCUCUAUCUAAAUCAGAAUUAAAUUCCAAUAAGUUACUACUAAUUUAAAAAAAAAUGAGUCCUUUAUACAAGUCAGAAUUAAAUCCUAAUCAUGCAUUUGAAAUGAUGAAAAGGAGCGAUGAUAAACAAUCCUUUAAAAUAGCCUCUUAAUUAUUAAAAAAAAAAGUGUUUGACUGCUCUUCCAUUCAGUAUGUUCGGGUAAAUCAAUUAAACAUACUGAUGUGAAUUUAAAGUCUUCAUUUGAUACACGACCACCAAGUGAGUUACGUUUACUCAAAAUCAGUGGUAUGUCAUCGGGUCCAAAUCAAGUUCAUUCUUCUUCCCCACAUUACAAAUUACGAUCACCUAACACGGGUAAUAUCAUAACUUCUUUCUUUUUUUUUCUGUGAUAUUUUUUUCCAUAACAAGAUUGAUUUUCGGCGCCGCUGCGCUAAUUGCUCAUUAACGUGAGUGCUAUGGCGGCUUUAUUUAUGUUUGAGAGGAAAUCAUCGAAAUGACAGUGACAGAAAAUGUCAAACUUUUUGCUCUUUUACGAAUAAUGGCUUAUUGUCUUACACUGGAUGAAUUUGUACGUAAGAUCAUCACCAAUUUCGGCAAUUCCUGAUGAUUCGCCCAGUGUGCAGAAAAAACUCAAUCGAUCUAAAGACAACAAUAUUCAAAAACUUUCCAAGUGCACUUUAAAGUAGUUACUCAAAAAUUGGCGAUGGGCAUCGUCAUGAAUAUUUCCUGGAAUCCUAAUGGUUGGAGUUACCUCUGGAUCGUUGCAGGCUACCGAAAUGGUCUCAUCAGAGUUCUAAAUCUGAAAAAAAUGAACAAAAA